rnacentral:rRNA from 1 species
UAGGAAGUAAAAGUCGUAACAAGGUCUCCGUAGGUGAACCUGCGGAGGGAUCAUUACCAGAAGCCGCGCCGGCCGCAACGCCGGCGCCUUCGCCCAACCCUUUGUGAAUCGCAACUGAUUUCCCCGGGGGACCGCCUGCCCUGCGCGCGCGGCCCCCGGCGGACCCCCUCCAACUCGUGUUGUACCUGCCGUCCGAGUCUUAUGAGAAAUCAAACAAAAACUUUCAACAACGGAUCUCUUGGUUCUGGCAUCGAUGAAGAACGCAGCGAAAUGCGAUAAGUAAUGUGAAUUGCAGAAUUCAGUGAAUCAUCGAAUCUUUGAACGCACAUUGCGCCCCCUGGUAUUCCGGGGGGCAUGCCUGUUCGAGCGUCAUUUCAACCAAACCAGCCCCGCUGGGUGUUGGGCGUCGCGGUCCGCCGCGCGCCUCAAAGUCUUCGGCGGAAGCCGCCCGUUCCUCUGCGUGAUGCAUCGUCGUCGCUCGGGACACGGGGGUGAGCGCCCGGAAAUCGUCGGCGGAGACGCCGACUUCAAGGUUGACCUCGGAUCAGGUAGGGAUACCCGCUGAACUUAAGCAUAUU